UAUUUCAUCUAUUUACAUCCAUAAAAUUUCACACGUUUGUACGUUCGCGACGUUUUUUUCGUCUAAAUCUAAUUGACAGUUUUCUUACAAAAAAUAAAAACUUAACAAAAAUUAACAUAAGUUGAUAUUGACUUAAAACAACUCCUAUCUUUUAAAAAAUAUUGCUGUUUAAAAUAUGAUAAUUUAGCGGGAGAAGCGUUAGAUCGAUGCUGGAAAGCUUGUACAAAUCGAAGGUUAUUGGAUUUAAGAAACUCAAGCUCUACUACCGAAUUUUUUUUGAAAUGGCCGCAAUACAAAUGCCUAAUUGGCUAUCGUAUGAUUGACAUGGAUUUUUGUUUUUUGCACCAAAACGCUGGUCCAGUUCUUGAAAAUUGCGAACAAAUACAGCCCCAAAUUUUGAACUUCCUUUUAAAUGACAACAAAUUGAAGGAAAAAACCAUAUUGAAAGUGUUGGAAAAAUUGUCAAAUGAAGCAUUAAUAUGCACAAUACCUAACAAUUUUCAAGAUUGAGCUUUACUCUGGGCCCUAAAUGGGUAUUUUGUGCCUUUCCAAAAAGUUGUGAGGAAAUACAAAGAGGAGAAAAAAACGUUUACGAUUUACCAUCAAGGACUCCCAGAAUUCGUUUGUUUGGGUCGGUGCAACGAUCCAAGCAAUCGAAUAUCACAUGGAAUCAUCAAUUGAGACACAAUAUUUUAAAAAUAAAAUGAACGCAAGGACUCAUUUAUUGAUAAAUGAACUUAACUACAAAAAAUAAAAAUUGUAAAAUUAAAUUAA